rnacentral:misc_RNA from 1 species
UUUCCGUAGGUGAACCUGCGGAAGGAUCAUUGUCGAAGCCUGCCCAGCAGAACGACCCGCGAACUUGUAUAAACAACCGGGGGCAGGGGCGAGCUCGCCCCGUGCCCUCGAACGGCCGCGAGACACUCGUGCCUUCUUGUCGAACAACGAACCCCCGCGCGGUCUGCGCGAAGGAACUUCAAUUAAGGAGUGCCUCCGGUCGACAUGGAACCGAGGCGUGUGUCGGAGGCGAAUCUUGUACAAAUCCAUAACGACUCUCGGCAACGGAUAUCUCGGUUCUG